UGACCGUCCAAUAGAAAGAAAUUCAAUAUCAUAGAAGGUAUGCAGAUAUAUAAAAUACGUUUAGCUCGAUAUUUGAGGCUUAUACAUUGGCAUGAUCAAAAUAGAAAUUUGGUUUCAAUAGUUUAUUUUUGUUUUUAAUUUAAAAUUUAUUGUAUAUAUCUCUCAUGAAUGUGGCCAAACAAAUAUUGGUUUCAAUAGUUAACUGUGCUUUUUCUUUCUAGCCAGAUUAAGAUAAAUGCUUCGACUCUUGGAAGUAUGCAAACACUUGAUGUUGGAUGCAGAACUACGUUUUAUGUUUUCUACACAUAUAUGGCAGAAUAUAUUGGGUUCAAGUUUUCAAACAUAGAACCGAGAAAUCAGAAAAGCAAAACUUUUAUAUUUUUAAGCCGAAUUUCAUAUUCAUCGUCCUCUACUACAUGAGCAGUGUUGGUAAUGUUUAGAUUUCAUGUUGUACUUAUGAAUUGGUGCAGGAUUUGGAUGAACUGAAUAGUGGUAGAGAGAUGGUUUAAGAGAGAAUCCAAACUCACUUAACUUGAUCGAAGUCAUAUCAAGAUACUGAAUGUGGUGCUGUUGAUGCUUCUAAUGGCCCCAUUAAUACACAUGUCUAUGGUGGAGGAUGGGCAAAACUUGGAUUAUAAUCAUCACUACUCAUUUGCGCCUUGCAACUUCUUGCAUAGACCAAAGCCUAUGUUUGGUCUGGAAGGUCGUCAAGAAGAAGAAGAAUGUGGUGUCAAUGCUUAUCUGGAACAUCGACGUAGGCUUCCUCUCUUCCCUAUGCACGGUGAAGAUCACCUCAACGGUGAUAGCGGUGCUAUCUGGAAGUAUGGCCAAUCGAACGAUCGUGAUUGUUUUAGUAGAGACUCUUGUGCUUCUCUUGAGCUACGUAUGAACUAGACACCGUUAUACACAUACAAAGACUUAUUUGGAGAAGACAUCUUCGCUAAUACGUGUACGAAUAUGAACUUUGGUUGGUAUUCAAGUAAGGCAUCUCUUUUUUUGGUAUGGAGUAAAGCAACUCUUUUAGUUGUGUGCAUUGUUUUACUUUUUUUUUAAGAGUUGUGCGAUAUUUUAAUAAAUAGUUUAUUGUCCAUUAUAAAACGGAGUCCGUAUAACUUUUUGUGA